CACAAAAUAGAUGGCCUGGCAUUAGACUCCCCAAAGUCUGAUCCAGGUCAAUGAAAUCAAUCUGAAUCAAGUUUUCAUUCUCACCUCUUCCUGGUUCCUUGACUGCCUGCAGGGAGCAGGGACCCCUCAUGUGAUAGAUCAACUUUAAAGAAAUGGUUUUAAUGUAGCUGUCCAGCUCCAAGUUCACAACCUGCCUGCCUCGGGCUCCUAAGUGCUGUGAUUUCAGCCAUGCAACACUACUCAGCCAUUUUAUUGGGAGGCAGUCCUGAGGAUGGAAUCUAGUUGCUGCACAGGAUUGUGUCUGGGAAGGAAAACGUCAAGGC